GUCCACGAGUUCACCUUCGACGGAGCUUUUACGGGAAAGUCGGAUUUACGGAGCGUUCGAUUCGCGCUCCGUCGCGUCGCCGCAUCAGAAACAAAGGCGAGGACACCUAGCUUGUACCCCCGAAGGAUUCGCGGUGGCUCCGCGAGGACACGCUCGUUCGCGAUUGGAAAAAAAAAAGAGCCGGUGUGGAAGGAAGGGCGAUCGGGCUGGAAAUUAUAAAAGAGCGAUCGACCAGCGGGAGUGGGGCAGUCGCUUCCAAGUGUGCACCUGGGGCACUACGGAUCGGAGUCUCUGUAAGUUUAAAUAAGUCGCUUUUGACGUCUUUCGAACAAAGGCAAGAUGGGAGCAGUCGAAUGGGCAACCGACGAGGACAAUUACGAGUGCACCCUCUCGGCGGAGACGCAGAAGAUAGCGAAGGAGGAGCUCAGAGAGGACAAGAACACCAGGGACCAGGCUCUCGAGCAGAUGCGCAAUUGGAUCAAGAUGAAUCCGCGCAUUCAGAAUAGCCGUCUCGAUGCACGAUUCUUACUAAAAUUCUUGCGAUGCAAAAAAUUCAAUGUCCCGAUGGCCCAGGAGGCCACUGAAAGAUACCUGCUGCUCCGUCAGGUGUAUCAUGUAGCGUUCCACAAACUGGACAUCACGGAGCCGAACAUGGAGGAGUUACUGUCAUUGGGAUAUCUCUUCGCUGCGCCUGGCCGCGAUGCGAAAGGCCGUCGUGUUAUAAUCGCUAGACCAGGCGUAUUUGAUCCUCACAAAUACACGAACGUGGACAUGUGCAAGAUCCACGCCAUCACCUACGAGGCGCUGAUGGAGGACGAGGAGAAUCAAGUGCGCGGCUUCGUGCAUUUCGCCGACGGUGCCGGCGUCAGUUUCCCGCAUCUGACGCUUUUCACUCCCAAAGAGGCAGUGCGCAUCGUGAAAAAUGGCGAGCGUACCGUACCGAUGAGACACAAGGAGGUUCACGGCAUCAACUCGCAUCCCUCCAUAAAAUUCGCCCUAGACUUCGGAUUGUCGUUGAUCUCCGAGAAGAUUAGGAGUCGCGUGAAGCUUUACACGAGCCUCGAGGACGCUAUUAAUCACAAGCUGGACGUGAGCAUGCUGCCCAAGGAGUACGGCGGUACUAUUCCCAUGAAGGAGAUGAUCGAUCUGUGGCGGAAAGAAUUAUUGAAAAUGACACCGUCACUGUUGACCAACGACAAGAUGAACGUCUGCCUCGAGCUGUACUCGGAGAAGGCACGAGAAGGCGCGGUCUCGGCGCUGAAGCAAGGAUUCGGUUGUUCCAGCGUGGGUUCCAACGACACCACGAUGUGCGGCAUAAGCGGCUCCUUCAGGAAGCUCGAAGUCGAUUGAUAUACAUAUAUAUCUCUAAUGUUCUUUACUUAUUAUGAAUACGUUUUCUAUCUAGAUGUAAACAGCACGGGAUCACGAGAUACAGAUUCAUUUUGGAGAUAGCACAGAAUUUUAGAUUAGUCUUGGUAUUAAGAUGACAUAAUUUUAUUUUUGUAUUAUGUAGAUAACAACCACGCAAUACAAGUAUUAACCGAUGUCUAUUAUUUUGAAUCGCACUAUGAACGCAUACUAAAUGUUGUACAUAACUUUUUUUGCUAAUGCUUCACAAUUAAUACAACGAAAAAGAGCGUCGUUUCAUUUAUUCAUCUCCCAUUCGAAAUCGUCAACCGGCGUAUUCGUGGGAAAUUUGACAGAAACUUUUAUGAGGAAAUCCAUUUGCCAAUUAUGUCGCGAAUCUUCGCUCUGGUUUCUUUCAAGUCGUCCGUGUCCGUGUCUACAUCGCUACUCAUAUCGCAACAGUGCGAAGAUCCUUUAAAAUAAGACAUUAUAUUAUCUUCUGCUAGAAAAAAAGGCAGAGUUCCGAUAUGUUCCCGGUAAAAAAUUUUUCAUAUAAGAACAUAUAUAAACAUAUUUUGCAUAUAAUUAUAUAUAAUAAUAUAUUUUUAUAAAUGUUUAUAUAUAUUUAUAUAUGUUCUUUUUUUCCCGGGUUUCUCUCUCUCUCUCUCUCAAUAUGUUGCAUGAUUACCGUUAAUAAGAAAAGCAGGUGAAAAGGUGUUUAGAUCUUUGAGCACAGAUAACGAAUGCCACGGAUCGAUAUCGCCGUUCGUAAAAAUAACGUUUUUUAAAUCCGGCAGUUGUAGUCCUCCGUACAUUAUAUUUGUUCUUCUCACCCGUGAUUCCAAUAUCUUUUUACUAUAACUAAAAUUAAGUUUCAGCGUUAUCAUUUCUCAGAAAUAAAACUAACUGCGUACUUUAUUCGAAAUGUAAUUUGAUACAAUAAUAAUUAAGUCGUGGCAUUUAAUUUCGUAACCUUUAACAUUUGAACGUGUUGUAAAAAUAUAUUAUAUGCGUAUAUUAUAUCAGAUAUAUUUGUACAAAUUAUGAAUAUGGAAAUAAAUGAUAAGUAAGAAAGGAAA